rnacentral:antisense_RNA from 1 species
GGCAGCAGCAAGCUGAUUACACAGGGAAAAGCUUCUAUCUAAAUACACAUAGCAUAACAAUCACCCCUGGAAAAACUACAUGGCUUACCAAAAGAGGUCUCUCUGUUCACUGUCCAUUAUCUGUUGACUGAACUAGUUCAAAUGAAUAACAAGUAAUGAUCAAAUUGCCAGUUUAUAUUUUACAACAGUCUUAUCUUUAAAAAAAUGCAAGGAGGAAAUACAAAAAUGUAAUACAUUUAUCUUACUUUCUUUUCUAUUUCCUCCCCUGAAAUUAUUACUAUGCUAUUGGAAGCCAUACAAACACAUAUAUACACAAAUAUACAUAUGCUUCAAUGAAAAGCAGGCAUGCAGCUGAUAGCUCGGUAACCCUGAGCACAGAAUUUUGAAGAGAGAAUACACUAAAAGGGAAGAACAUAACUACAUGACAUCAUAAGAAGUCCUGAAUUAGAAGCGUAUAUUUGAAAGGUCAUGCAUCCUGAGCUGCCAACAGCUUAACAACCAGAGGCAGAGGCCACCUUUGCCAGCUCACUGCUUCUACUCAUCUUUCAUGAUAGUAGCCAGGCUGAAUAUAGUUCCAGGAUGAUAAUGAAUUGGCUGGGCAUACUGUUUAUAUUAGUAUGUAUGUUCCUGUACUAAACCAAGCAUCAUGAGGCCAGCACUAUUUUGCCAUUUUUCAGAAAAAAAAUAUGAACCCUUCAAAACAUAGUAAGCCUUUUUUAAAGUAUAUAUUUGAUUUUGAAAUAAUCAAAAUAUAUGUAGGGAUAUGACUGCAUC